rnacentral:rRNA from 1 species
GUGCAGCAGGCGCGAAAACUUCGCAAUGGGGGCAACCCCGACGAGGGGAUUCCAAGUGCCAGCACUUUGUGUUGGCUGUUCUCUUGUCUAAAAAACAAGAGGAGUAAGGGGCGGGUAAGACGGGUGCCAGCCGCCGCGGUAAUACCCGCGCCCCAAGUGGUGGUCGAUAUUAUUGAGCCUAAAACGUCCGUAGCCGGUCUUUUAAAUCCUUGGGUAAAUCGGGCAGCUUAACUGUCCGACUUCCGAGGAGACUGAAAGACUUGGGACCGGGAGAGGUCAGAGGUACUUCUGGGGUAGGGGUAAAAUCCUGUAAUCCUGGAAGGACCACCGGUGGCGAAGGCGUCUGACUAGAACGGAUCCGACGGUGAGGGACGAAGCCCUGGGGCGCAAACGGGAUUAGAUACCCGGGUAGUCC